AUUGAACGCUGGCGGCAUGCCUUACACAUGCAAGUCGAACGGCAGCACGGACUUCGGUCUGGUGGCGAGUGGCGAACGGGUGAGUAAUGUAUCGGAACGUACCUUUCAGUGGGGGAUAACGUAGCGAAAGUUACGCUAAUACCGCAUAUUCUGUGAGCAGGAAAGCAGGGGAUUGCAAGACCUUGCGCUGAUUGAGCGGCCGAUAUCAGAUUAGCUAGUUGGUGGGGUAAAGGCCUACCAAGGCUACGAUCUGUAGCGGGUCUGAGAGGAUGAUCCGCCACACUGGAACUGAGACACGGUCCAGACUCCUACGGGAGGCAGCAGUGGGGAAUAUUGGACAAUGGGCGCAAGCCUGAUCCAGCCAUGCCGCGUGUGUGAAGAAGGCCUUCGGUUGUAAAGCACUUUUGUUGGGAAGAAACCGGUCGGAUUAAUACUUCGGCUGAAUGACGGUACCCAAAGAAUAAGCACCGGCUAACUUCGUGCC
rnacentral:rRNA from 1 species